GUCUGCUAGAACAGAUGGUUCUCUGGCCAGCCCGAAUCACACUGGAGAGUGUCCACAUCUUCCAGAGGAGAUGAGCAUCCCAGAGAUAGCACUGAGGAGAAGGAAAGCUGUUGUUGGUCCUGAAAAGGGCAGGGCUCCCAGGGAUAUCAUCCAAACAUGGCAUCUCAUGUUGCAAUAAGACUACGGACAACCCCUCGUAUUAAAGCUGGGUGAGACAAAGGAGGAAACGGGUCUCUGAAGCAGGCAAAAAGGAGCAGAGAUAACUUCUGCUCCCAUCUUCAUAGCAGGUCUUGUUGUAGUUAUUUGGGGGUUGUUGGUUUCUAAGACAAGGUCACAUUCUGAAGCUCAGGCUAGCAUUACAGGAGAUACACACCUGGCUCCUACGACAGCUAAUACCCGGGAGCUACUAACCUGCCAUGUCCAAUAGUCAUUCUUGGGCUCCUGUAGUCACCACUCAAGCCACUGUGAGUGACCACUGGUUUGUUACUGCUUUUGCCUGCCAAGGGACAUGAAACUCCGAAGACCAGGCAUUUGCUUCUUCCAUAACUGGGUUGGGCUCUGAAGGAGUGAGUGGGAUGUCUCCCUAGUUCUGCCUUACCUGAGGCACUUUAUGGCUUAGCAGCGGACUGUUUGCUGAGCCAUCUUUCUGGGUCUCAACACUGUUUUGAUAAGCAGCUGGGUAAUGCUGUUUAUCCCUGAGGUAAAAGUUGGGACCAGGAAAGAACUGGAAGAGGUGAGCCAACUUUAGACGUCCACAUGCACAUGUGGAUUGAUUAGGUAGAGAUGUGAGCUUGGGCCUCAGGGAAGAGAUCUAGGAGCAAAAGAUUAAAAAAAAAAUGGGCUCGCAGAUAAUCUAGUUAUAAUUUAAAGUCCGGAGGUUGAACAGUUGUGAAAUGAACUGGAGAGGAUAAAGGGCCCAAGGGAGAGACUAGCACCUGUGGCCCCGUGAGGUGCAAAGUUGGGAAUUGAAGAGGAAGAAGCAAGCCUCAACCUCAGCUGUCAGGAGCCUCCACCCUGAAGGCAAGUGGGAGAACUGGUUUGCUCUGAAAAGCUGCAGAUAGCUCAGUGGACUCUGGCAAAGGAAUGCUGCUCUCUCCUUAUCAGAUGCUUCGCCGGAGUAGUGAGAUAGAGAAGAAGAGGUGUGGAAUUCAUGCUUAACCUGAGAGGACCUGGUUUGUUCCCAGCACCAGAAAAAGAAGAGAAAAGAAAAAAAAAACACAACAUGUAGGCAUGCUUUAAUAAAAUUCAGGUAUUGAA
rnacentral:sRNA from 1 species